rnacentral:rRNA from 1 species
UGUUUGAUGUUCUAACGUGGACCCGUGAUCCGGGUUGCGGACAGUGUCUGGUGGGUAGUUUGACUGGGGCGGUCUCCUCCUAAAGAGUAACGGAGGAGCACGAAGGUUGGCUAAUCCUGGUCGGACAUCAGGAGGUUAGUGCAAUGGCAUAAGCCAGCUUGACUGCGAGCGUGACGGCGCGAGCAGGUGCGAAAGCAGGUCAUAGUGAUCCGGUGGUUCUGAAUGGAAGGGCCAUCGCUCAACGGAUAAAAGGUACUCCGGGGAUAACAGGCUGAUACCGCCCAAGAGUUCAUAUCGACGGCGGUGUUUGGCACCUCGAUGUCGGCUCAUCACAUCCUGGGGCUGAAGUAGGUCCCAAGGGUAUGGCUGUUCGCCAUUUAAAGUGGUACGCGAGCUGGGUUUAGAACGUCGUGAGACAGUUCGGUCCCUAUCUGCCGUGGGCGCUGGAGAACUGAGGGGGGCUGCUCCUAGUACGAGAGGACCGGAGUGGACGCAUCACUGGUGUUCGGGUUGUCAUGCCAAUGGCACUGCCCGGUAGCUAAAUGCGGAAGAGAUAAGUGCU